rnacentral:lncRNA from 1 species
GCUAGUAACCAUUUCUGUUAAGUUUCAUCCAGUUUGCAGGAUUUUUAUUUAUUUUUUUUAUUUUUUGACCUUUUCGCAUUGUUUCCAUGGUAACUACAGACAUUUUGAAAUUCCAACUCCAAAUGGCACAUCUUCCGAUGUUGCUCAUCGUUACUGUGAAGUUUCAUGAAGUUUGGAGCAUUUUGAGAUUUUUGAAAUUUUUGGUGUAGUUUCCAUGGCAACAUAGUAGUUCCAAUGAAUGCCAAAAUCAUCCAACACCUGUAUAUAGUGGGCACCUACAUUGUAUUAAAAUAUAAUGAUUCUGAGUUAAAGCAUAUCCAAACAGUUCACCAAAACAAAAAACUAGAUUUUUUCACAUUUGUUCCGUUUCCAUGGAAACGGCAGCCAUCUUGAACCAUUCCAUGGUGCCUGCAACUCUUCACCUAAGGGUCCUCUAUAUGAUAGAGUUCCAUCAACUUUGGUCCAUUGGAUUUCCAGAAAUCUCCUGGACAAAAUUAGGUGGAAGAAAAAUAAUAAAAAUAAGAAAAAAAAAAGAAACGUACAAUAACAAUACGUCACCCCAACUCCGUUGAGGGUGCCAUAAUAACACAUAGCUAAGA